GAUGAACGCUAGCGGCAGGCCUAACACAUGCAAGUCGAGGGGCAACUUGAUUGAUAGCAAUAUUAAUUAAGCUAGACCGGCGCACGGGUGCGUAACACGUAUGCAAUCUACCUUGUACUGGGGCAUAACUUCGAGAAAUCGAUGCUAAUUCCCCAUAAUGUCAAGAUGUGGCAUCACAUUUUGAUUAAAGAAUUUCGGUACAAGAUGAGCAUGCGUCCAAUUAGCUAGUAGGCGAGGUAAUGGCUCACCUAGGCGACGAUUGGUAGGGGUCCUGAGAGGAUGAUCCCCCACACUUGCACUGAGACACGGACCGGACGCCUACUGGAGGCAGCAGUGAGGAAUAUUGCGAAAUGGACGAAAGUCUGACGCAGCCAUGCCGCGUGAAGGAUGACUGACCUAUGGGUUGUAAACUUCUUUUGUAUGGGAAUAAACCCCCGCUCGUGAGCGGGGCUGAAGGUACCAUAAGAAUAAGCACCGGCUAACUCCGUGCCAGCCGCCGCCGUAACAC
rnacentral:rRNA from 1 species